AUUGAACGCUGGCGGCAGGCCUAACACAUGCAAGUCGAGCGGAGCGGCGGACGGGUGAGUAAUGCCUAGGAAUCUGCCUGGUAGUGGGGUAUCACGUCCGGAAACGGGCGCUAAUACCGCAUACUAUCAGAUGAGCCUAGGUCGGAUUAGCUAGUUGGUGGGGUAAAGGCCUACCAAGGCGACGAUCCGUAACUGGUCUGAGAGGAUGAUCAGUCACACUGGAACUGAGACACGGUCAAGACUCCUAAGGGAGGCAGCAGUGGGGAAUAUUGGAAAAUGGGCGAAAACCUGAGCCAGCCAUGCCGCGUGUAUGAAGAAGGCCUUCGGGUUGUAAAGUACUUUCAGCGAGGAGGCGUUACUCGCAGAAGAAGCACCGGCUAACUCCGUGCCAGCAGCCGCGGUAAUUC
rnacentral:rRNA from 1 species